rnacentral:tRNA from 1 species
GGACCGUGGCUCAGUGGCAGAACAUUUGUUUUGCAUGCAGAAGUUUCUAGGUUCAAUCCCUAUCAUCUCCA